ensembl:snRNA U6 U6 spliceosomal RNA
GUGCUCUCUUCAGCGGCACAUACUAAAAUUGGAAUGAUACAGAGAGGAGCAGCAUGGCCCCUGUGCAAGGGUAGCAUACAAAUUUGUGAAGCAUUCCAUAUUAAA